AGCAGCCGCGGUAAUUCCAGCUCCAAUAGCGUAUAUUAAAGUUGUUGCAGUUAAAAGCUCGUAGUUGAAUUUCGGGGUUAGUAGGUCGGUCGUGCCACAGGUAUGUACUGGUCUCACUGAUUCCUCCCUCCUGAUGAACCGUAAUGCCAUUAAUUUGGUGUUGCGGGGAAACUGGACUGUUACUUUGAAAAAUUGAGUGUUUAAAGCAGGCUAACGCUUGAAUACAUUAGCAUGGAAUAAUGAAAUAGGACGUUCGAUCCUAUUUUGUUGGUUUCUAGGAUUGACGUAAUGAUUAAUAGGGAUAGUUGGGGGCAUUAGUAUUCAAUUGUCAGAGGUGAAAUUCUUGGAUUUAUGAAGACUAACUACUGCGAAAGCAUUUGCCAAGGAUGUUUUCAUUAAUCAAGAACGAAAGUUAGGGAUCGA
rnacentral:rRNA from 1 species